UAGCUCAGUUGGUAGAGCAUGGGACCAUUAAUCCCAGGAUUGUGGGUUCAAAGCCCUAC
rnacentral:tRNA from 1 species